AUGCGAACUUUGUAUUGGAACUGCCGCGGGAUUGGUGCCUGCGACGGUUUUAAGCUCAAGGAGCUCAUCAGGGAGUGUGCGCCGUCAGUGGUAUGCAUAUCGAAGACACAAAUUUUGAAGAAGAGAGUAUAAGGACUAACUUCAACUCUUGGUUUUGAAUGGGGUUUUGAAGUGGCUAGCAGCGGAAGAAGUGGAGGAUUGGUGAUCUUUUGGAGGGAUGGCCUGAAUGUGCGCAUAAAGAACUACUCAAAAUACCAUAUAGAUAUUACAGUGAAGGAGGAAGGGAAAGAAGAAUGGAGGCUGACUUGCUUUCAUGGUGAAGCCAAUCGGAGUUUGAGGCAGAAUACCUGGGAUACAAUGGGAUAUAAAUGUUGUAGUACAUUAGCUUGUGAUUUAUCUAUCAAUAAUAAUAUGAUUGUUUAA
rnacentral:rRNA from 1 species